AUUGAACGCUGGCGGCAGGCCUAACACAUGCAAGUCGAGCGAGCGGCGGACGGGUGAGUAAUGUAUGGGGACUGCCCGAUAGAGGGGGAUAACUACUGGAAACGGUGGCUAAUACCGCAUACUGUCGGAUAACCCAUAUGGGAUUAGCUAGUAGGUAAGGAAAUGGCGUACCUAGGCGACGAUCCCUAGCUGGUCUGAGAGGAUGAUCAUCCAGACUGCGACGGGGACACGGCCAGGACUCAUACGGAGGCAACAGUGGGGAAUAUUGCACAGUGGGCACAAGCCUGAGGCAGCCAAGCCGCGUGUAUGAAGAAGGCCAUAGGGGUGUAAAGUACUUUCAGUCGGGAGGCGUUACCGACAGAAUAAGAACCGGCUAACUCCGUGCCAGCAGCCGCGGUAAUAC
rnacentral:rRNA from 1 species